AUAUAGGUAAUAUAUUAUUGGUACGGUAUGUUUGCAUUUGCAAACUAUAUUCAUAUUUAAACAUAGAUUCAGUAAUUUUAGCCCAUUCUCGAUGGUGCGCACCUAACCCUUCUAUCUAGUCCCCAAACACUUCCAUUGUCCCCGGAAGAAGCGCCUCCCCCUUUGUCAGUCCCUGUGCUCCUCCUGGUCCCCUGGUCCUCACGAGUCCACUUCCAGUCUCUCAACUCGCCCUCCUGGAUUCUCUGACCACGGAGUCACACGCCUGGACUUUCGUGUCUGGUGCCAUUCACUGCGCCCAGGGUUUUCGAGGUGCAUCUACCAUGUAGCAUGCGUCAGUGCCUCUUUCCUUUUCAAGGCUAAUUUUUCAUAAAGAUUGCAUUAACAUAUUGUUUUAUUUAUCAUUAUUUGUCCAGAUGACUGGGAUUUUGGGUCCCUCUUACCCUUCGCACCCGAGGCUGGUGCCUGAGUCCCCCGAGCCCCCUCGUAACCCAGUGGCCACAGACAUGGACACCAGUGGCUCCUUCGAUGCCCACGGAACCAAUGACGAAUCCGAGACCCAGCCAGACUCAAAGGCCGGAGCUGUGCCCUGCGCGCAUGCGUCCAACCUUGAGCGCUACUUACAGAGCCCGGACGGCCUCUCCCUCCCGCUGGGCUCUCGCUUUGUGUGCAGGGAGCUUGCCCUGGUGUCUGAGGACUGCUGAACCCAGGCCAUCCCACGAUCAGUAAAUCACGGCAGCUGGGGGUGGAGCCUCUCUGUGUUCAACUCCGUCCUCCGCGUCUCUGCAGGUUUAACGUCGAGGUCAAGCAUAUUAAAAUCACGACAUCAGAAGGACUGUACCGGAUCACAGAGAAGAAGGCUUUCCGGGGGCUUUUGGAGCUGGUAGAAUUUUACCAGCAGAACUCCCUGAAGGAUUGCUUCAAGUCUCUGGACACCACCUUGCAGUUCCCCUACAAGGAGCCCGAGAGAAGAGCCAUCAGCAAGCCACCAGCUGGGAGCGCCAAGUACUUUGGCACAGCCAAAGCCCGCUACGACUUCUGUGCCAGGGACCGAUCAGAGCUGUCUCUUAAGGAGGGCGACAUCAUCAAGAUCCUCAGCAAAAAGGGGCAACAAGGCUGGUGGCGAGGGGAGAUCUAUGGCCGGAUUGGCUGGUUCCCUUCAAACUACGUGGAAGAAGAUUAUUCCGAAUACUGUUGAACCCUAGUGCAGUAGUGGAGAGAUGAUGAUAAACUGCAGGCUCUGAGCCUAGGAUGAGGAAGGAGACUCUGACAGGUCCUGGUGGGCAGUGAGCCUGGAUGGACUGGAGGGCCGGCAUCCAGCUGGCAGGGCUCCCGGACAAUCCCCUGCCAUGGUUAAUUUAUAACACACUGAGUGCCUCUUGGGUCCUCCCAGAAAAGGCCGGGCUCGAGGUGAUUGCUUUUAAUAAAAUG
rnacentral:lncRNA from 1 species